AAUAAGUACUAGGGGAGUCGUUAUGACUGAGAUGUUCUGCUUGAAUAAACCCUUUGAACCUGUGAGUUGAUACUCGCGUAGGGAAGUCGUCUAAAAAUAGC
rnacentral:ncRNA from 2 species